rnacentral:tRNA from 1 species
GGGGUUGUGGCUCAGUGGUAGAGUGCUUGCCUUGCAUGUGUGAGGCACUAGGUUCGAUCCUCAGCACCA